UACGGGGGGGGCAAGCGUUGUUCGGAAUUACUGGGCGUAAAGGGCUCGUAGGCGGCCAACUAAGUCAUACGUGAAAUCCCUCGGCUUAACCGGGGAACUGCGUCUGAUACUGGAUGGCUUGAGUUCGGGAGAGGGAUGCGGAAUUCCAGGUGUAGCGGUGAAAUGCGUAGAUAUCUGGAGGAACACCGGUGGCGAAGGCGGCAUCCUGGACCGAUACUGACGCUGAGGCGCGAAAGCUAGGGGAGCGAACAGG
rnacentral:rRNA from 1 species